rfam:Ictidomys tridecemlineatus contig085797, whole genome shotgun sequence.
GGGGUUGUAGCUCAGUGGUAGAGCGCUUGCCUCCCAUGCUUGACACCCUGGGUUCGACCCUCAGCACCA